rnacentral:tRNA from 1 species
AGGGGCGUGGCUCAGCAGUAGAGCACUUGUGUAGCAUACAUGAGGCCCUGGGUUCAAUCCUCACCACCCCAA